UGUAGGAAACGGAGGCAGAGAAGAGUCGCGAGACUUGACUCGACCACACUUUCCAGGCUCCGCCCCUCCUUCCUGGCCCUCCUUCUGGCCCAGAUUCCCCGUUGCACGUGCAAUUGUGUACUUGUGGUUCAACCUCACGUGGCCACGGUAGUGCCGGCGUUACAUGCCCCGCCUCCAAGAUGGCGGCGCGCAGUGCUGGGGCUCACGACCUGAAUUGGCUCAGCUUUGAAUUAUAACCUUGACUGAGUCUAUGUGGCCAUGGACCGGCCUGGGUUCACAGCCUCGCUGGUGGCUGGUGGGGUAGCAGGUGUCUGUGUUGACUUGAUAUUAUUUCCUCUGGAUACCAUUAAAACCAGGCUGCAGAGCCCCCAAGGAUUUAAUAAGGCUGGUGGUUUUCGUGGAAUAUAUGCUGGCGUUCCUUCUGCUGCUAUUGGAUCGUUUCCUAAUGCUGCUGCCUUUUUCAUCACCUAUGAAUAUGUGAAAUGGUUUUUGCACACUGAUUCAUCUUCGUAUUUGAUGCCUGUGAAGCAUAUGUUGGCUGCCUCUGCUGGAGAAGUGGUUGCUUGCCUGAUUCGAGUUCCUUCUGAAGUAGUUAAGCAGAGGGCACAGGUAUCUGCUUCUUCAGGAACAUUUCACAUUUUCUCUAACAUCUUAUGUCAAGAGGGCAUCCAAGGAUUAUAUCGAGGCUACAAAAGCACUGUUUUAAGAGAGAUUCCUUUCUCAUUGGUCCAGUUUCCCCUGUGGGAGUCCUUAAAAGCCCUCUGGUCCUGGAGGCAGGAUCAUGUGGUGGAUUCUUGGCAGUCAGCAGUCUGUGGAGCAUUUGCAGGUGGAUUUGCAGCUGCAGUCACCACGCCUCUUGACGUGGCAAAAACCAGAAUCAUGUUGGCAAAGGCCGGCUCCAGCCCUGCAAGUGGGAACGUCCUCUCUGCCCUGCAUGGUGUCUGGCGGACACGGGGGCUGUCGGGAUUAUUUGCAGGUGUCUUCCCUCGAAUGGCAGCCAUCAGUCUGGGAGGUUUCAUCUUUCUUGGUGCUUAUGACCAGACGCGCAGCUUUCUGUUGGAACUUGGCAGAGAGAGUCCAUGAAUCACAGACAGCCCCUGCCUUCAAGAAAGGGUCCUGCUGUGAGAACUGUUUCCCCUCCGGUGAGCAGCUGUUUGGCCAUCUAAACAACAAAACGCGGCGCUCAAGUCCAGUUCUGCUCAGAUUACGACAUGGAGAACGCAUCUUCCGUGCUGCAGGCUGGCCGGGAUGACGUCAUCGGCCUGGUUCCCAGAGUUCAGAGAGAAAAUGAUGUCCACAGCGGUACUUUGAACAGUUUUCUCAGAACCCCUUAAUAAACAAGUGUGGCAACGCAGAGUCCAGGCCCUUUCAGAGCCUUCGUUUGAUCUGUAUCUGAUCUUUCAUUUCCUGCCACCUGACAGUGGAAUCAGCCAAAGGCAGAGAUGGUUGUGAUUUUAAAGGAAUGGCUAGAGUAAGUAAAGGAAGGAGAGUCGGGAAGAAAGUUGGGGGUGUGGGAGGCUUUUCUCCCCUGGGUUAACUCCAACUGCAUUGGCUGACAGCCUGGUGUAAAAAGAACAACUACAUACAGGUGCUCAGCCAGCAUCCUUGCUGGGUAACCAGGCUGCUGGUCUUAAUUACCCUCACAUUUCACCUAUAAAAACAAUUGUAUUCUUUUCCAGAGGAGUGUCCAGCGGCCCAUGUGGUGUGUGGGAGAGAAACCAGUCGCAGCCCAAUGACUAGGUGGGCCCAGCGGGCUUCGCGGCAGGAGGGCCGUCACUGACCGGGCUCCUCUCCACUCCAGACCCAAAGCAAAGGGCUGGGGCCGACUUUGGAAACGGGGUGGGUUCGUCAUUCCUGAUCACUAAGCCAAACUGGGAUCCCAACCACCCCUGGUCCAAAAGAUGGCAAGACCUACAUGCCAACAGUCGGGAGGAAGAAAGAAUUUAAAGCUACCAGUGCCGAUUCCAGUGCUUUGGAGACACAGCAAGAGCACAAGUCAACAUGAAGGAAUUCUUUUUACUACAGCAGCUGUUCUCCUGAGACUCCUUCUUCCUGUAUUUAACCUUUCAUUCUUGGGGCUGGAAAGAAACACACAGGAAAACCCCAGCCUCCUAUGCUGAGUAAAUUCACAGCUAAAUCCGGGCACCAGCGCUGGCCUGAAACAACACAGCCAUCUUCCUGUAACUGAUUAUUUGCCGUGUAACUGAAGCAGCUCGUGCUUGCUCCUGAUUAAACGCACGCACUCCAAGAACCACAUAAUGAGGCGACGGCACCGUAAACACUACGUGUGGUUUCAGUGGGAAAUAAAUUGUAUCCAGCAGCUGAUGGGUAACCAUGGGCUAGGGCUAGGGUUGACUCUGAUCACAGGAAUCACUCCCAUAGUGAAGCCUCCUGGCCUCCUUACCCUUUGUGGAAAAUAAAAAAAAACCACAAAGACAGUCUUACCACACACGAAACUCUCUGGCGGCACGGCAAAGAUGCUCUGGCCCUUCAGUGACUCUGGGUGGGCACAGGUGGCUGUCACGAAGCCCUGCAGCGUCCUGCCCAGCAGCCACGGGGGCAGCCACUUCAGCUGGCAGUCGCACAGGAAGCUGUCGCUGCUGAUAUGGCUGAAAGCAAGACAAAAGGGUCGUGUGAAGUGUGACCGCAAAGAAGGGAUAUCUGCCUCUGUGCCCCGAAUGACCCAUCGCCUCCGAUCAGCUUGUGCCGUGAAAGUCAGAAAGCUUGAAUGGGAGAUGCUCUUUCUUACGGCUCCUCUCCUGCGACCUAGAGCGCAACUGAGGAUCAGCUUUUUCAACAGAAAUCGGAAUCGCCAUCUCUGCGGACAUUCCUUCCUGAGGAGUCACUCGAAGAUAAGUCAGCUGAAGGGCUGAGCUGCCGUGUUCCUGGAAGACCUCGGGCCGUGAGCUCAAGAGCGGAGGUUAGCCCGGCACGGGGAUGGACACAGGACUUAUUACAUGCGCUUCCCUGGAAUAAACUGUCCCCGGUACAUGGUGACAAAAAAGGAGUACCGGGAUGCUCUGAAAUUCCAAAAAUGUCACAUGGGCCAGUGAUAGAGCAAUGGCCUCCCCCACCCUCACCAUAUUCCUCAGGCCCCUUUCUCGUUCUUCAUUUCACUCUGACCUUCUAAUGAGCAGGGAAACCAUCAAACUAGUAAACAGCAAGGCAGAGAGAACCUGAAGGCAGAGAACCCAAGGCAGAGACGAAAUGACAUAGAAUCUGCUCUUCGCUCCUCUCCUCACCGUUCCCGAAUGAGCUGAGCAUUUUAAACCAAAUAAUUUUGGGAAGUGCUCAUUCAAGACUGAAAUAAUUGAGCACAAAGCCAUUAUAACAGGGAUGCUUGCCCAUAUUUGACCUUACAAUCAGCCCUAGGUUUUGUAUUUGAUGGGUGGUAGGGCUGUGCUUAGCGAUACGUGGAGAGAGGCUCUGUUGAGGAGUUACUGUAGGUGGUGGACAGGCCCUCACAGGUGAGCGCGAAGAAGCGGCUGAAUCACACCAGCCUCUGGAGAGCUUCCCAGGGCAGGCUGUGUGGUGGUCGGGAAGGCUGCCGCCAGGCACAGGAGAACUCCCGAGCCCAGGCGAAGAGUGGAAAGGGCCUCUCCCCCUGUCAGAAGCACCGACGGCUUCCCAUCAAGGGGCAUCUGACGUGCCUGCCCCUUUCCGCAGGAAGGCCUGGGCACUACACACGGAAGUCUAGGGGAGGACACUGGCCAUCUCGGGGAGCCUUUAGCCCGUUAUGUCGGGGACAGGGACAUAUUUCAUUCGAACCACAGGAACAAACUGGAGAAAACAAAUCUGACGUUUCUCCUUGAUCAGAAAUGUGUUUGGAAAGGGUUCAGCUUCACGUCAUGCGUUCAGGGCAUUUGCUGGCCGAGCUCCCUAGAGAAUUUCCUGCCUCCUCUGCAUGAAACCCUCCUCACACCGAGGGGUCCAGACCUUAGAAGACGGCAGGUACUCAGGGUGGACAGAAGGCUGUCCUAAAGAAUGAGUUAGGAUUAACGGGAUGGAGGGAGAGAAAUGGAGGGACCCGGUGGGACACCGACCUCCCCUCCACACGCACGCAUCACCUCCGAGACCAAGCGUAGGCCAGACGGGGGAUCGCUGGUGACCCCAAGGCUCUGCAGCUUCCCGCAGCCAAAGGCACGGCCAUUCCGGGCCCCCGCCUGCAGCCAUCCCGGCACUCCGCUGGCUUAUAUCACACAUUUUCAUGAUUCCAACACCAAAUGUGUUUCUAAUCAUCGCUUGUGGAAAUUUACCCAGAGGAUGACUAAGUGCACAGCACAACCUGCCUUGAUCCAAUGGGGGAAGAAAAUGACCAAGUGGGAUUAACCGUUUCUCCCAUCAGAGGACUGGGCCCACGGCCAGCCCCAGCUGGGUACAUGCAGCGAUUGAUGGGAAGCCUAGGCAGGGGGCCAAGGCUGAGCCUCCAGAACCACACAGAUGCAUCUGCGGGGGAGGGGCUCCAAGCACCUGGAAGGGCCCAGUUAGUCCCAACUAGAAAACUGUCUCAGGAAACCUGAGUCUUCAGGAGGCCCAAAGGAAAAUCCUCUCUCCCUGUCCUGCUCUCUUUCUCUCUCUUCCCUUUAACUGGAUCUUUUUUACUUCCAACAUGUUAUUUGGAAAGUUUCAAAGACAGAAAUGCUGGAGGGAAAUGCACCGUGAACACUCACAGACUCACUCACUUUGUAAAAUCUGAAUGUUCUGUGAUACCUGCUUUAUCACAUAUCUAUCCAAGUGUCCAUCCUUCCACGAACUCCCGUUCUAAGAUCAGGACCCUUACGAGAAAGGGCACCAACUUGACAGACUUCAAUCUCGCAGGACACUGAACGUCGUGAGGCCAGGGCCCGUCCACCUCGCCUCCCCUCACGCACCCCUGGGAACGCCACCGGGGCCUCUUCCUGCUUCGGUUUCCAACUAUGGGGACUGCACCCCCCUACUGCCCCAUUCCUCCCCUCCCCGCUGCCACCGAGGGUCCACCAGGAUUGGCCGCAGGGACGAGGAUGAGCUCAGGGUGCAAAGACGGCCAUUGGCAUGCCCGAUGUUCUCAGCACUUGUAGGAACCCAAAGCUGCACCUUCAGGGAACUAGACAUUAUGGCUCAGACUCAAUGGCUGCAGAAUCGGACUCACGUACAGGAAGAAGAAAGGAAACCUGCGUGUUGCUACCUGAAUACUUAGAUGAGCUCCUCUGCCAGAGACUAGGACACAGGCAAGCUCUUCUAACCCUUGUCGCCCAUGGGCCCACACGGCAAGUCUGCAGCGGCAGCAUCACGGCCCACAAACACCAUGGGGGCCCUGGGAACACACGUGGGCUGGGCGUCUCCUCACUAUCCCACGGUACGUGCCACCAUCCCACGGAGAGCUCUGCCCUGCUCACAGCCCACCCAGAUCUUUUAAGAAGCCCCUCUCAAUACAAGCCCUUCAUUGUAGGCACCCCUAAAAGAUGAAGCACUUGUCCUUGACGUAAUGAAAGGGAGGAUUAUCCAUUUACAGAAGAGAGUUUGUUUCACAUCACCCAGAGCAGCGGUUAGUCGACGACGGCCUGCAGGCCCACUGCCUGCUUUUGUAAAUAAGAAUUUACUGGCACACGGCCACACCUAUUCGUUUAUGUCUUAUUUAUGGCUGGUUUCUUGCUACAAGAGUCAAGUUGUCAUGGCAGAGGCCCUGUGGCCCAAAAAGUUGAAAAUAUUUACUGUGGCCCUAUAAGCAAAAGUAUACUGACCCCUGAUUCAGAAGAAGCCCCCAGAGGGCAUUUUUUUCAAAAAGACAAUUGAACUUACAGACAACGAUAAACGAUCACAACUAUUAUAUAAAAUAGAGCAUAAUCCAAUGAAGGCACUUCUUACUCGGAAAUCCUCUACUCACGCCAACUGGGGCCACAGAAUCCCCGGUACUUACAGCUCUUUAAGAUUCUUCAUCUUCACAAAGGCAUCAAACUGGACAGACCUGAUUGCAUUCUCUCCAAGGUUCCUGAAAAAGAACAUUCUCUACUUAGGCAAAGAAACUCCAGGCGCCCUUCAAGUCAGCCACAUGUUUGAGCCACGACGCUCAGGGAUUUUUCCUGACAGCCCAGGCUUCGCCAGCGAACCACAGACACGAGCCAGACACCCGUGUCCUGUCCUAAGGCCACUGUAAGCGGCUAUUAUUUCACCUACAUUGACACGUGCAAUAACUCUGGAACGAGCCAGCCUUAAGGGUGGCAUCAAAGCUAAGCCAAGGCCCGCUCAGCAAGUCAACAGGCAAAACUUUCCCAACAGAAUUGUGGCCGCACUUGAUUCAAAGACAAAAUACCCUAAGAAUCAAGUACUAGAGGCAUCCGCCUCGGUUGGUGACACACGGACGUCUCAGGGCUGGCUCCGUCCUCUUCCUCCCAGGCUCUCAGAGGCGAACACACCAGGAGGAACCUCCCAGUUAAACCCAGCGUGUACUCAGCACUGCUGCGCUGCUUUAGCAGUAUAAAGGGUCCUGGUGGAAGUGGAAGGGAGCCCAGGGCCUGAGCAGGCCCAGGCAAUGGGGAGGCCAGGCAGGAGGACGGCAUUUAUCUGAGCACCGAGUGGCCAUAUGUUCUGUAACCAUUUCUGGCAUAGGCAAAACGAAGGCCAAAGUUGAAGCUGACUUAGAAGGAAGCAGCUGGUGUUUCCAAAUAGCCUGUCUCAGUUUACAAAGAUGCUUUUAAAUUGCUCGCAGACUUCCCCGGCAGCCACGUUUGGCAGGCCUGUGGGUCAGGGAAGGUACUCACAGGUGCUCCAGACCUUCCAGCCCCGAGAACGCUCUCUUAGCCACGGACUUGAUCUUGUUUCCCGACAGAGUUCUGCAGUUUCCAAACAUCCAGAAACAGAGGUGGGGUGGGAGCGGGAGGGAGAGCAACAAGGGAAGGUGGGGAGAAAGAGAACACACAAUUAGGGUGGUGCUAUCUGAUAAGCCUGUCCAGGGAGAGGCAGGUGGAAAUCUGACCCCUGCCGAGAUUAUGCAUCUGAGGUAUGUGGGCCCUCCCCCUUCUGAAAUGAGAUACUUUUAUCUUUAUUAGAAUUUAACAGUGAUGACAGGUAGGAAUUGCAUGCGUUGUCUCGCCAAAAAGGCCCCUUGCAAUGUUAAGUGGAAAUCACCUUGUCCAGCCUGGGCUCUCUCUCUCUCUCUAAGGACCACCCUGGGGGGAGUGUAGCCAUAGUCCCACAGGGGAGAGAGAACUCACCACUGCUCCAGCGAGAGGAAGCAGUCAGGAGGAAAACUCUUGGAACUAAAAACUACCACCCACUUCUGAAAGCUGCCUUCUGGGGAUAAAGGUCCCCAGAGGAGGCAAGAGGAGGACAGGACAGUGGGUAUCUAUGGAGACGGCCCCCCAGCUCCGGGGCACACGCUGGCAGCCAGGAUGCGGCCACAGUGCGCUGCACCCCUGCCUGCGAGAAGGCCCCUCGGCUCUUCCGCAAGAGCCCGGGUUUUAAAUGAUGCCAACGGCCCGAGGUUAUUAAAUCCUAGAUAGACAGGUCCUCAACGGUCAGCCCCCCAGGCUAUCUAAUGCCUGUACCUGGACUACCUACCCAUGAGAAGGGGGGUCUCGCUUCCAGAGAAUUCCAAUCACAGUCUCAUAAGUGACUGUCAAGAGUUUUCUCAGAAACCCAAAUCUGCCCCUGCAGUACACAUGGAAGAAACGGAUGCCUCUUCCAUGGGCUGUCAUCCAAAGGGAAGUCUGUGUUGGAACUGGGGUAGGGGUGGCACCUAGAGUGGCUGGACGUUGGGAAUGAAAAGCAUCAAGGUUCCAGUUUUCCCUCCUCGUUAUCAGAUGCUCUGAUGAGAGCCCACCAAGGAGUUCCCUCUAACUGCUGCUGGCACAGGAAAUUCUGCCAGCGAGCACCUGAGGUAGUGCUGACAAGUAUGGGGCUCUUUGACGAUGGUGUCCACCGGGACUCUCCAAAGGGUAGGUUAAGAAGGACAUGGGCUGCUGGGAACCAGCUCCUGGGAGGUCUCAGCACCGCAGGUGUGGGACAGGGACUCCUAGGCACUGAGGGCAGGUGGUCAGGAGAAAGCCUUACAGAAAGGCAGGCCGGCUCAGCCCCUCGCCAGGAGGGGAAUUCCUUGUCUAGAACCCACCGAGGACCAGGGGAAAGAUCUCGACUAAAGGCCAGAUCUAUCUUCAGACCUUCGUUAAGACGGGACCCACAAGGGAAAACAGCAAGCACACAGCCCUCCCUGAGAAGAGGGAAGAAAAGAAAUGCGAGCCUUGAAGAAAACCAAAGACGGCAGGGCAGCCUGGCACCGCCUGCCACACGGGCCCCGGGCUCCCACCCAAGUGCCAAAGGCUCCUGGGGCCCGGCAGGCAAGGACCAGGAGGCUGCCUCCGGGAGAUGGGAUCACACACACAGAGGACCCAGCCCUCGCCAGGGGACUCGGAAGGCAGCCGGACCACAGGGCUGCCGCACCCCAAGUGCGUCAGGAUGGGUGCCCUCCCAGGUCCUCUGCUGAUGCAGCCCCCCUGGCAACUCUGGGCUCGGCCCUCAGACAAAGCAGCUCUGUGCCCUGCCUCCGGAGGGUAAAGGAGCACAACGGCCAGAGAGCCCUUUGCCUUCUCCUCUGGGAGGCGGUCUGCAUGGAUGUGAGAACAACCUCACCCAGAAAGCGUUUCCACAACUGCACCACAGAGCAAGUCCAGCCAGCACCAGCCUGCAGGGCACCAAAGCCCGGCGCUACUGAGAGCACUGCCAGCCUCUCACUCACUCAGAUGCCCCAGGCCGAGCCACUGCGGGCUCCAGGUCCUAGUGAACGGUAUUGAACUGUUUAGUGAAAUCUUCCGUAAACGAGAUCCAGGAAAAAAAGCUGUGCUUUAUAUCAUCCAUUAAAUACUAGUCACGUUGGCCUCUCCUACCACGAGGGCAGGCUGUUACUCCUAACGGCGACAAUACCAAUAAAACAAACUCUCAGAUGCUCGAUUAUCCAGGAGCGCAUCUCCUGUUGGUGGAUUACAGUAGGUCCUCACAUUCCCCAGCAGGCGUCUGCGGGUGGGGGCCGGGGCUCGGCUGGCAGACUGCGGUUCCAGUGACAGGCCGCUGUGUGCGCACGGGAGAGCUGGGGCUGUGGGCCAGGUGUGUCCCCGUGCCUGUGUGCCACGUGCCGGUGGGCAGCGGAGACGUGGCGCACCUGAUCGAUGGCUCCCGGAAGGCAGAGCCGGCCCCACGUCCCCCGCGCCAGCGACGUGGAGCAGACGGCGACCCUGGGGAUCACCUAUCACACCCUCUCCCCCAGCCCCGCCAACCCAGCCAAGGGUCUUCCGGCUCUUGCCGCCUUCACCCCAGGAAGGCUGAAGGGCAGCGGCUACUGCUGUGUCACUCGGCCCCCUGCCCCCAGGAAUGCCCCGGAGAGAGCUGGAAUCACGGGGCGGCACCUGCCUCCUCUUCGUCCGCAAGUGACCGAACCCUCCCCUCUGCGGCUGACCUGUGCUCCAGAAACCCUGCCUCCCCUACUCCCCGGGCUAUGAGCUCAGCAGGCCCCCAGCAGGUGUUCCAAAAGCAUUCUGCAAGGAGGGGCGUCGGGUGGGUGCGUGUAAUGAACGCCCUGCCAGGAAGCUCCGGACUCAGGAACCCUCCCAAAUGGCUGUGUUCAGCAGCUGGAAAAAUGAAGGGCAGGGCAGGCUUCGCAGACGGAAGCCUUUUAUGGCUCCGCUGCUCACUUGUUCCUUUCCUGGAAGACGUUUUAGUUUCGGGCUGCCCUCGGGCACGGCAGGGAGAACCCCGGGUCCUCAAGUAAGAGAGUGCAGGCCAGCUAGCGUGUCCACCUUCCCUUCUGAGGGAGGUCUCUGACCUCCGCCCCUCAGUUGCUUCCACCGCCGAGCCCACCAGAGGCUCUAGAGGGACAGCCCCCCUCCUGGCUGAUGUGAGCCCCCCCCCAUUUGUAAUGGGUCCGACAGACUCACCCCCAGGCCGCUUAAACAGGGCCUCUCGGUGGCACGGCCACGCCGCGGAGCGUCUGCGCAUUGCUCUGGGGAGACCAAAGCAGCACGGGUUCCUCCCCGCUUCAUUCAACAAACGCUGACUCAACACCGUUAGCCGUUAGGAAGGCGGCUCCAGGCUGCACACAGGCUGGUGUAUGCGGAACCAGAAGCCCGGCGUCCCCAAGGGCCAGGCACACCUCACGAGGCAGGAAGAGCCUCCACGGCCCGCUCACAGUGCUUUCUAACCGGAGCUGUGCGCCCGGAUCACAGGAAAGCACGGGCCUUCCUUUUCCCCCCUUAAUAUGGAAGAUUUCACACACCCGCAUAGGCAGACGGGAGGGUGUCGUGAGCCCCACGUGCCCGCCACACAGCUACGGCCAUCACCUGAUGGUGCCAAUCCUGUUCCGUCUCUGCCCACUCCUCACUCCCAACCUGGGCUGGACCACUGGGAAUAUCUAUCACAUAGUUUUCUUUUUUUAUCCAAGAAGAGGAUUCUUUUUUUUUGUCUUUUGCAACAUAACCACAACACCAUGGCACCUAAGUAAAUGACUGCAUAUAUUUAAUCAUAUUAAGGAACCACUGUCACUGUCCCAAUUUCCCCCAGUUGUGUGCAUCUCUCUGGUUUUUUUGGAAAAGGAUACAGGAGCCUCCAGGCCCAAGAUCCUGAUCAGUGGGGCUGGGUGGGAGGAGACGACACUGCAUUUUACAGUGUCACCGUGAACCCACUGCUUCCAAACACCCACGUCAAGCGGGCAGUGCAAGCAAGGGUUACGGGCACUCGUGCUGCCUUCUUGGGACUUUACACAGGACUGUUACCCUAGUCCAGUGGGUCAAACACCGGACUGUUACCCUAGUCCAGUAGGAGAACUUGCUGGGGAACAGACAGCAGGCGAUUAGGAAGGCGGCUCUAGGCUACGGACAGCGAACGGCUUUUGCAGAACCGGAAGCCCUAGUGCCCUCAAGGGUCACCGCCCCCAGCUGGCAGGGAAGAGCCUCCUGGAAGCCGCGACACCCAAGAACCGGCUCCAGGUUCCACCGCAGGGACAGGCCCCGCAGAGAAGGCUUGUGUUGAAUGGCUGCGCAGGCGCCCAGCCCCCCGGCUCCACCAUCCCUGCAGCUGCAUCCCGAGCUUGAGGCUCCUCUGGUCAAUGACAGGCCUCUGUCCCACCCCGUCGUGCUGUCCUGGCUCUUCCCAAACCUGCUGGGUAAAGGGCCCAGGAGGUGGGGGAGAAAGGAGCAUUUGUUUAGGGGAGAAAAAGAAGGCCGACAGGCAUUUGGGACCCACUAUCAGAACGCAGGAGCCUCAAGAAGAGAACGAAUCCUCAGACAGCCAAAACGGCUGACGCGUGCAACUCCCAGACUAGCAAACGCGUGAAAAACCCCACUUUUCAAAACAAAUUAGAAACGUUAACUCUGCAGAAAGCCCCUGCCUCCACGGGCUUUCCCGGAGCCUCGCCCUCCACUGCUGCUUUCAAAAUAUUUACUUUAUCCUCGUGCUCUGCUCGGCUCGCCGUCACCACAACAGGCUGGGGGAGACGGAGUGGGGGCCGUCUUCUGUCUUGUCCUCCUCCAAUCCCUCCCCCACAGCACAAGGCUUCGGGGCAACACGGGUGAGUCCCAGGCCUGCCGCCCACCGGCUGUGUGAUC